UACGUAGGGCGCAAGCGUUGUCCGGAUUUACUGGGCGUAAAGGGCGCGUAGGCGGUCAGCACAGGUCAGUUGUGAAAUCUCCGGGCUUAACUCGGAAAGGUCAACUGAUACUGUGCGACUAGAGUGCAGAAGGGGCAACUGGAAUUCUCGGUGUAGCGGUGAAAUGCGUAGAUAUCGAGAGAAACACCUGCGGCGAAGGCGGGUUGCUGGGCUGACACUGACGCUGAUGCGCGAAAGCCAGGGGAGCGAACGGG
rnacentral:rRNA from 1 species